GACGAACGCUGGCGGCGUGCCUAAUACAUGCAAGUAGAACGCUGAAGGGAGAGCUUGCUCUUCUGGAUGAGUUGCGAACGGGUGAGUAACGCGUAGGUAACCUGCCUGGUAGCGGGGGAUAACUAUUGGAAACGAUAGCUAAUACCGCACAACAUUGACUAUUGCAUGAUAGUCAAUUGAAAGGUGCAAAUGCACCACUACCAGAUGGACCUGCGUUGUAUUAGCUAGUUGGUGGGGUAACGGCUCACCAAGGCGACGAUACAUAGCCGACCUGAGAGGGUGAUCGGCCACACUGGGACUGAGACACGGCCCAGACUCCUACGGGAGGCAGCAGUAGGGAAUCUUCGGCAAUGGACGGAAGUCUGACCGAGCAACGCCGCGUGAGUGAAGAAGGUUUUCGGAUCGUAAAGCUCUGUUGUAAGAGAAGAACGAGUGUGAGAGUGGAAAGUUCACACUGUGACGGUAUCUUACCAGAAAGGA
rnacentral:rRNA from 1 species